GGCCUGAUGGUCUAGUAGUAUGAUACCUUGUUAGGGCUUCGGACUGUGAAAGUUCCGUAAUAUGCUUCGAGGUGGUCCCGGGUUCAAUUCCCGGUCAGGCCC